UAUCUUUGAAAUUGCUCAAAU
rnacentral:snRNA from 1 species